AACGAACGCUGGCGGCAUGCCUAACACAUGCAAGUCGAACGAAGCCUUCGGGCUUAGUGGCGCACGGGUGCGUAACACGUGGGAAUCUGCCCUUCGGUUCGGAAUAACAGUUAGGAAUGACUGCUAAUACCGGAUGAUGACGUAAGUCCAAAGAUUUAUCGCCGAAGGAUGAGCCCGCGUAGGAUUAGGUAGUUGGUAGGGUAAUGGCCUACCAAGCCGACGAUCCUUAGCUGGUCUGAGAGGAUGAUCAGCCACACUGGGACUGAGACACGGCCCAGACUCCUACGGGAGGCAGCAGUGGGGAAUAUUGGACAAUGGGCGAAAGCCUGAUCCAGCAAUGCCGCGUGAGUGAUGAAGGCCUUAGGGUUGUAAAGCUCUUUUACCAGGGAUGAUAAUGACAGUACCUGGAGAAUAAGCUCCGGCUAACUCCGUGCCAGCAGCCGCGGUAAU
rnacentral:rRNA from 1 species